CGGGUCGUAGCGCAGAGGCAGACGCACCGCCUUGCCCAGGCGGGAGACGCUGGUUCGAAUCCAGCCGCCCGU
rnacentral:tRNA from 1 species